rnacentral:rRNA from 1 species
CAGCAGUGGGGAAUAUUGGACAAUGGGGGCAACCCUGAUCCAGCCAUGCCGCGUGAGUGAUGACGGCCUUGGGUUGUAAACCUNUUUUAGCAGGGACGAAGCGUAAGUGACGGUACCGGCAGAAGAAGCCCCGGCUAACUUCGUGCCAGCAGCCGCGGUAAUACGAAGGGGGCUAGCGUUGCUCGGAAUCACUGGGCGUAAAGGGCGCGUAGGCGGCUGAUUUAGNCGAGGGUGAAAGCCCGUGGCUCAACCACGGAAUGGCCUUCGAUACUGGUUGGCUUGAGACCGGAAGAGGACAGCGGAACUGCGAGUGUAGAGGCGAAAUUCGUAGAUAUUCGCAAGAACACCAGUGGCGAAGGCGGCUGUCUGGUCCGGUUCUGACGCUGAGGCGCGAAAGCGUGGGGAGCAAACAGGAUUAGAUACCCUGGUAGUCCACGCUGUAAACGAUGAAUGCUAGCCGUUGGGGUGCAUGCACCUCAGUGGCGCCGCUAACGCAUUAAGCAUUCCGCCUGGGGAGUACGUCGCAAGAUUAAAACUCA